rnacentral:miRNA from 1 species
CAUUUUUUUAUUUUUAUUUGUGUGUGUGUGUGUGUGUGUGUGUGUAUACACACACACACACAAAUGCACA